rnacentral:rRNA from 1 species
GAUGAACGCUGGCGGCGUGCUUAACACAUGCAAGUCGAACGGUAAACACGUACCUUUCUCUGUUGGUUCAGUGGCGAACGGGUGAGUAACACGUGAGCAACCUGCCCCUGACUUUGGGAUAACCUCUGGAAACUGCGUCUAAUACUGGAUAUGUGCCGUGACCGCAUGGUCUGCGUUUGGAAGGUUUUUUCGGUUGGGGAUGGGCUCGCGGCCUAUCAGCUUGUUGGUGAGGUAAUGGCUCACCAAGGCGUUGACGGGUAGCCGGCCUGAGAGGGUGACCGGCCACACUGGGACUGAGACACGGCCCAGACUCCUACGGGAGGCAGCAGUGGGGAAUAUUGCACAAUGGGCGGAAGCCUGAUGCAGCAACGCCGCGUGAGGGAUGACGGCCUUCGGGUUGUAAACCUCUUUUAGCAGGGAAGAAGCGAAAGUGACGGUAAUGGCAGAAAAAGCGCCGGCUAACUACGUG